rnacentral:rRNA from 1 species
GACGAACGCUGGCGGCGUGCUUAACACAUGCAAGUCGAGCGGUAAGGCCCUUCGGGGUACACGAGCGGCGAACGGGUGAGUAACACGUGGGUGAUCUGCCUUGCACUUCGGGAUAAGCCUGGGAAACUGGGUCUAAUACCGGAUAUGACCACUGGUCGCAUGGUUGGUGGUGGAAAGAUUUAUCGGUGCAAGAUGAGCCCGCGGCCUAUCACCUUGUUGGUGGGGUAAUGGCCUACCAAGGCGACAACUGGUAGCCGGCCUGAGAGGGCAACCGGCCACACUGGGACUGAGACACGGCCCAGACUCCUACGGGAGGCAGCAGUGGGGAAUAUUGCACAAUGGGCGAAAGCCUGAUGCAGCGACGCCGCGUGAGGGAUGACGGCCUUCGGGUUGUAAACCUCUUUCGACAGGGACGAAGCCCAAGUGACGGUACCUGUAGAAGAAGCACCGGCCAACUACGUG